rfam:Trichinella spiralis unplaced genomic scaffold Scfld4513, whole genome shotgun sequence.
CAACCGGUCCUUUUCAGGACCAACAAUUAUUUUUGCUCAAUCCAAU